rnacentral:rRNA from 1 species
AUGCCUUGGCGGAAGAAGCUAACGACAUGUGUAAGAUUCCGAGUUAAGCUGUGGUGCGAAGUACCUGCAUGCAUCUUGCAUGGGGGAUGCUGCUUUCCGACUCGCCGCAUGGCGGAAGGAGAUGUGCCAGGGGCAGCAGCGCCUGCGCUGCAUGGCCCUUCCGCCUUGAGGCCUGCCGCGAGCAUGUACAAGCAACCUACUGGAUCGAUCAUUUCUGGACACACACAAGAUACCAGAUCAUCUUCCUGUCUUCAUGACGGUGAUGACGGCGCUGAACAAAGAAGCUUGAGACCCUUCCCCAACAAGGUGUUCGACUUCAUGGUUUGGAAUGGAUUUAGAAAUCUCAAGAGAGGGUGA